rnacentral:rRNA from 1 species
CCUACGGGAGGCAGCAGUGGGGAAUAUUGGACAAUGGGCGAAAGCCUGAUCCAGCCAUGCCGCGUGUGUGAAGAAGGUCUUCGGAUUGUAAAGCACUUUAAGUUGGGAGGAAGGGCAGUAAGUUAAUACCUUGCUGUUUUGACGUUACCGACAGAAUAAGCUCCG